AGUGAACGCUGGCGGUAGGCCUAACACAUGCAAGUCGAACGGCAGCACAGUAAGCGCUUGCUCUUACGGGUGGCGAGUGGCGGACGGGUGAGGAAUACAUCGGAAUCUACUUUUUCGUGGGGGAUAACGUAGGGAAACUUACGCUACUACCUCAUACGACCUACGGGUGAAAGCAGUGGAUCUUCGGACCUUGCGCGAUUGUAUGAGCCGAUGUCGGAUUAGCUAGUUGGCGGGGUAAAGUCCCACCAAGGCGACGAUCCGUAGCUGGUCUGAGAGGAUGAUCAGCCACACUGGAACUGAGACACGGUCCAGACUCCUACGGGAGGCAGCAGUGGGGAAUAUUGGACAAUGGGCGCAAGCCUGAUCCAGCCAUACCGCGUGAGUGAAGAAGGCCUUCGGGUUGUAAAGCCCUUUUGUUGGGAAAGAAAAGCAGCAGGUUAAUACCCCGCUGUUCUGACGGUACCAAAAGAAUAAGCACCGGCUAACUUCGUG
rnacentral:rRNA from 1 species